GCGCCAGUAGCUCAGCUGGAUAGAGUGCCGGACUACGAAUCCGUCGGUCGGGGGUUCGAAUCCCUCCUGGCGCGCCA
rnacentral:tRNA from 1 species